GUUGCCGCGAACGCGUACUGUCCUUUGGCGCGAUCUCCGCCGCUAUCGUCUCGCCUCGCGUUUUUACCGCGGCGUAAUCGUAUCGUUGUAUACAUUGUAGAAUAUUGGUAUCUCGGACAGUUACAAUCGCCACCGCGCUAACGGUUUUGAAUUUCGUUUCGUUUAUUUUUUUUUUUUUUUUUUUUUUCCCAGCCCGAUUAAUUUGAAUUUCGUUCGGUCCCCCACCCCUCCGAAUCGUUAACAAUACAGGCGUCGACUAUCCUUUUUGACUUCUGGUCGCGCCGUCACGUGUCCGAUCCGGGAGAAAAUAUAGCUGCAGGUAAUAAAAUAUUAUUUAUUCGUAAUGACUACGUUUUUGUUACGUUAUAAAAUCCGUAGACAAAAAAAAAAAAAAAUCGACUCAGAGAGAUCGAUUCAAAUCGUUUAUAAUAAUAAUAAAAAAAUAAAAUAAAUAAAUAUUAUACACUACAUAUUUUCAUAGUGUAUAGUGCGCGGUGUUUUUGAAAGAUAAUUGCCAGAAUAAUAAAGAGCAUAAAAAAAAUAAUAAAAAUUAUAAUUUUGUUCAUUACCUAUCAUAAAACUAAACGUUUAAAGUAGUACGAGUUUAGGUACAUCUGGAUUUCAAAAAUUCCACGUGCGAUCGAUGUAAUUUUGUAACUAACCUAUAAAAUCGCAUUGAUGUAAAUUAAAUAUUUCGCCUAUCGUUUUUAAUAAAUAUUGGAUAAAUAUUAACACGGUUCUUUUUUUUUUCGAAUACAUUUAUCUCAAGUAUAGCGACUCGAAUAACUUAUUCCCCAUUUAUCCGGAUAAAACAAAGCACACAACUAUACCCUACCUUGAUAAAACACACACUGUCGUCUAAAUAUGAUGUACGAAAAUAUAAAAAAAAAAAAAUAAAAAUACAAAGCAGAAAUUUCGUAUUUUAUAUUUGGAGCAUAUCAAUGUAUGUAUUGGUUUUACAUUGAAGUUUAUUUUAUUUUUUUUUUCUGUAAGCAAAUUUAUACCAGAAAUCUUGCUCCGAUAUUUCAAGUGUAGUAUCUUUUCUGAAAGAAAAUUUUAUUCGGGUGAUACUUUAGGCAGGUAAUUUUUCAAUUUUCCAAGAGGCUUUCAAAAUAAAUGUGUAAAACGGGAAAAAUUACAAAAGGUAUUAUUUUUUUUAUAUUGUUUUGUUUUGUUGUUGUGACUUAAUUAAAAAUAUUCGUAGAGAUUUUAAAUUUGGACAGUAUAUAUAUAUAUAAAUUUGGAUUUUCUAGACGAAUUUUCCAAAUAUUUUAACCAUUUUUGAGCUAUUAAUAGAUAUUUAAAUUUUACAAGUUCGUAAUUUCGAUAAGUAGGGACUCUGUGGAUACAAUUGUUUGAUUAACAAAAAAUACUUGGAAAUUUAACAAAAGGUUUAUAAUAAAUUGUACUUUGUGCUGAAAACAAAAAAAAAAUUGAGUGCAAUGUGGAAUUUUUUUAUAAGAAUUUUAAUAUCAAAACAUUGACGAUAAUCGUAAAUAUUACGACCUUUUAAAACGUGUAUAACCGAACUCUGCUCAGAAUCGUUUUCCGUUCGCAAUGUUAGUAAUCGUUGCGUACAGAUAUACAUUCAAUUUCACUAUAAAUCCAACCUUCCCAACUUUUCACCUACAACAGCCGCCCACCCAUAGUGCGAAGUCUAUAAGUCGUUUACAUUUAUUUCAUCGUUAUAUUUUUGAGUACAUUAACAUCUAAAAUAGUUUUUGGCUUUCAAAAAUUUAGUAUUCACUGAUUACAGACAUAUUAUUUGACUAUCGUACCGCGUUUAGCAGGUAUUAGACAUUUUUUGUUCGCGAUAAAAUGUAUAUAAUGUAAUAUCGACGCACCGCUUUUGACACUUUCGAACAUAAGCAUUUAUUUAAUACCCGUCGUCGAUAUAGUUUUUUCACUCCCGGAUAUUUUUAAAUUUUCGCUGACACACUGAUAGAAGUACUUUAUAAUUCUGCUACUCUGAUUCCAUUCGAUUUGAAAUAUUCAGAGCAGAACGAGUUUGGAUCUUAUAAUCGAUUGGUGAGAUGACUUUUUGAAAUACUUCGUACCUAGUUUUUUUUCUUGUUAGGGGGGGGAGGGACGAUUUAAAAAUUGACGAUGUCUUUUUGUUUUAACUCGGCAUUAGUAAGAUGUAAGAAAUCGCAGACGUUCUUACCGUAUACACUUAUGUUCAAAGUGGGUUUUAGAUUCUGAGUGGAACGCAGAAGCUUAUGGUUUUACAAAAAUAAUACAUUUUUUUUUUUUAUCUGUGCGUUAAGAUUUCUACCAGAAAUCUUUCACAGAUUUAUAAUGAUGGCAUUUUUUCUGAAAGGAAAUUUGACUGGGAAGGUAUUUUAAGGUGGUCAUUUUUCGAUUUUCUUAGGAGUUUUCUCAACAAAUGUAAAAAACCGAAAAAUAACUGAAGAAAAACGAGUAAAUGUGUGAAAUGUAGGUAUUGGUUAAAAAUUAUUACGGCUUUCUUUUUUCCUAUGAACAAAUUUUCUAUCAGCAAUUUUGCUCCGAUUUACAAUGAUAGCACUUUUUCCAAAAGGAAAUUUGGAAGAGUAGUGGAGUUCUUAUAAAAAGCCGGCCGCAAAUUAUACUCCAAUACUCUCCCGUUAUUUAAAUUAAAAAGUGGAAUAUCUCGUUAACGGGUUGACGAAAAUCAAAAAUGUUAUCACUAAAAUGUAUUUAAAGUAAUGCUCCGUCUAUUCAUGAAAUUUUUAAUACAGGUUUUAGUUUGAAAAAUCAAAGUUGAUAUCGUUAUAGAAUAUUUUUUAAAUAUUGUGAAAAAUCCAAAUAUUCGAAAAUGUUACAAAAAAAAAAAAAAAAAUAAACAAACAGAUAUGGUACACGUUUAGUGAAUCACCGUAUAUAUAAUAUAUUCACCGUAGAUGAGUGUGAAAAAUUGUACCCGAUACAGGCAUUCGAUUUGAAUGUUCCACUCUUGAUUCAUGGUUUUUAUAAAAUGAGUUAGGAUGAUAUCCGUGCUUACGGGUGUGUUAAUACCACGCCAGUGGCACACAAAUCGACUUGUGGGCUGUUUCGCCAGUGUCACGUCAGAGGUAAAAAAAAACACAACGUUCUUUCAUCGCGCUCCAACCAAUGUACAUUUGCGUACACAUCCACAAAAUCGUAAAUUAUGUACAAUAGUAGGCAAUGAAUGUCUAUUCAUUCAAACUAUAAUUGAUAAUGAUCCAAAUUCAUCAAACCUAAAUAUAAUAUAAUUUUAUUCUUAAAUCAUAAUUCAAGAGUAAGGAAAUUAAUACACGUUACGACUUAAAUGCCAACUAUGAAUACAUAAAUAUAUAUAUCAACACUUGAGAAAUUUUUUCCCGAUUUACAAUAAUAGCACUUUUUCUUCGAUAGUUAACGAAAUCUAAUUUGGAAGGUACUUAAAGGAGAUCGGCUUUCGCUUUUCCCAAGAACUUUCCCAGCAGAUGUGAAAAACCCGGAAAAACAAUGGCUGCACCCAUCCCUAUUAUCCUAAUAUAGCUUUAUAUUUUUUUUCAUCAUAAACCAGUAAUAUUUUCGAGGGAUUUUAUGUGAAUUUGUUAUCUGUUAUAUUUUUAACUAUUGUGAAAUCGUUCAUUUUUUAUUUUAAAAACAUUUUAAAUUUUUUACCCACACUUAAGAUACACCUUAAAUAAGUAUAUAAUUUUGUUUUUCAAACAGAAACCCUCCAUUGAAAAAUAGAUUCGAAUGGAGAAUAUUUUUUUAGAAAUUUUGUUAUGCAUAACACUUGUGUCAGAUUUACAGUUUAUGAGUUAUAACCGGUUUAAGUUUAGACCAGAAAAGUAGGGAAGAGUAUUGAUUUAUCAUUUGAAAAUAGAUAUUCAAUUUAUUACCCAUUUCUUACUCAUUCGGUAUACAGUUUAAAAGGUUAUAAUUCAUGAAGGGUAAAUCUGAUAUUAAUUUUAUGCAUAUCAAAAUGUCUAGAAAAAUAUUCUCCAUUCGAAUCUUUGUUUUAAAACGGGGUUCUUAUUUAAAAAACAAAAGCAUAUACUUAUUUAAGGUACAUAGAAUGAGGUGUAAAAAUUAAAAAUAAUUUUAAAAUAAAGCUGAAACGCUUCCACAUUGAUAAAAAAAAAAAAACAAGAAACAAAUACACUUAAAAUCACCCAAGAAAAUUGUCAUUCGUGACGAAAAAAAUCACUCUGUAUUUUAUUUACUACUUGCCGUAUUAGAUAUUAACCUAUUUGAAAUUGUCUGUUUUUUUUUUUUACGUCAAUAUUUAAUGUUUGACUAUUUAUGUUCAAAAAUUUAAUCAAGGAACAUCAUACUAUAGUAAAAAAACAAAAAUGAUCACCGCGAUUCUAUACAUUUUUUUCUUUUGAUAAAAUUUAAAGGUUCAAAAAAAUGGUCGAUGAACUUCGUAAAAAUUGUAAAAAUAUCAACAAAGGUAAAUAAAAACGAUUUAUAUAAUUUCCAGUUUUUUCCAUUUAUUAAGAGAGUUACAAGUAAAAGGAAAAAAAAUGGCCUCAUCAAUACACACGCCGAUUCAAAAAUUCUACAUGAAAACUCCUAUCAAGCUUUUGAUUGGAGCAAGAUUUUCGAUACAAUAGUUGUUUUACAGUCAUAUGCAAAAAAAUAACCACAACACAUCAUCGUAAAACCAAUAUAUUCCACGCUUUACUUAGAGUUUAUAAUAUCGCACUACAUUUAAUCACGGAACAUCAUAAUAUCAUAUACCUAUCGUAGUUUUAAUUAAAUUAAUAUUAAAUGUACAAAAUAACCUAAGUCUAAGAAUGUUUUUUAAGAAAUUCUGCCUAUACUGCCCUCGUAGUGGAAGUGCAGUAAAUACAAAAUGUUUAAAAACGAGAUUAUAGCAAUGCAGUUUUGUUAGUUUUUAUAUUCCGCUGUCCUCAAUUACGGAGGUUAUAAGUAGUAAAAAAUCGAUUUUAAAAUUUCGUGGUUACACGUUUUUGUUUCAGUUUUUUUCGAUAUUCAAAAAUCACUAAAGAGAAUAAAUCGUGGUGCCGUUGAUAAAAACUACACCAACGAAAAUACACGUGAAGGUAUGUUAAUCUGAAUAUUAAAUGCAGUUGCAGUCGGUUCGUGUUAACUGCAGUGACAGAUUUGAUGGGGGGAUAGGUGAUUGGGCGGUCGCCUCCUCCCCCACCCCUCGGGCUGAGGUUAUGUAUGUUUAUGUGUACAUAAAUUCACCCUUCCCCCCACUCGAUCAAACCCCGGAUCAGUUACUGGUUAAUUGCUGCUGCAUACAUUUUGUGUACACGUGAAUAAUUACUA